UAGGGAAUCUUCGGCAAUGGACGAAAGUCUGACCGAGCAACGCCGCGUGAGUGAAGAAGGUUUUCGGAUCGUAAAACUCUGUUGUUAGAGAAGAACAAGGACGUUAGUAACUGAACGUCCCCUGACGGUAUCUAACCAGAAAGCCACGGCUAACUACGUGCCAGCAGCCGCGGUAAUACGUAGGUGGCAAGCGUUGUCCGGAUUUAUUGGGCGUAAAGCGAGCGCAGGCGGUUUCUUAAGUCUGAUGUGAAAGCCCCCGGCUCAACCGGGGAGGGUCAUUGGAAACUGGGAGACUUGGGUGCAGAAGGGGAGAGUGGAAUUCCGUGUGUAGCGGUGAAAUGCGUAGAUAUAUGGAGGAACACCAGUGGCGAGGGCGGCUCUCUGGUCUGUAACUGACGCUGGGGCUCGAAAGCGUGGGGAGCAAACAGG
rnacentral:rRNA from 1 species